UAGUAAUCGCGAAUCAGAAUGUCGCGGUGAAUACGUUCCCGGGCCUUGUACACACCGCCCGUCACACCAUGAGAGUCGAUAACACCCGAAGCCUGUGAGCUAACCUUUUAGGAGGCAGCAGUCGAAGGUGGGGUUGAUGAUUGGGGUGAAGUCGUAACAAGGUAGC
rnacentral:rRNA from 1 species